CGGGGGGAGCAAGCGUUGUUCGGAUUUACUGGGCGUAAAGGGCGCGUAGGCGGCGUGACAAGUCACUUGUGAAAUCUCCGGGCUUAACCCGGAGCGGUCAAGUGAUACUGUCGUGCUAGAGUGCGGAAAGGGCAACUGGAAUUCUCGGUGUAGCGGUGAAAUGCGUAGAUAUCGAGAGGAACACCUGCGGCGAAGGCGGGUUGCUGGGCCGACACUGACGCUGAGGCGCGAAAGCCAGGGGAGCGAACGGGAUUAGAUACCCCGGUAGUCCUGGCCUUAAACGAUGGAUGCUUGGUGUCCGGGGUUAUAAAGUCCCCGGGUGCCGUCGCUAACGCUUUAAGCAUCCCGCCUGGGGAGUACGCACGCAAGUGUG
rnacentral:rRNA from 1 species